CCUACCAGAACCAUACCCAACACCCUUCCUCCCCCAUGCGGGUGGGAAAAGAAAAAUAGACAUUCUUAGUUGUUGACCUAAAUAGUGUUUCAAAUUGUCUCGUGUCAGGAAUGCAAGGGCACCCUUGGUUUCAACCUUGCAGCAAUGGAUCAUCUGAAGCAAUUGAUGUCUUUGAAAUUCGAUGUCCUUUUCCGAGAUGCAAAGACAAAGCUACUUGAAAUCCGUUCACGACAUGCAAAACGUCUGGAAGCAAAGACUGACACAAAAGAAGAGAAGAGGAAAAAGAAGAAGCAGAAGAGUAGAGCUGGGGCCUAAUCAGACCAAAGAAAUGGCAGGACAUCAAGUUUCCAGUGUGUGCUAAGACAAUCGGAUCGACCGCGUAAUCU